rnacentral:misc_RNA from 1 species
UCCGGUUUGUCACCGGCAGUCUCGCAUGAGUCCCCAACUAAAUGCUGGCAACAUGCAACGGGGGUUGCGCUCGUUGCGGGACUUAACCCAACACCUCACGACACGAGCUGACGACAGCCAUGCACCACCUGUGAAAGUGUCCCGAAGGAAAACUGUGUUUCCACAGCUGUCACUUACAUGUCAAGCCCAGGUAAGGUUCUUCGCGUUGCAUCGAAUUAAACCACAUGCUCCACCGCUUGUGCGGGCCCCCGUCAAUUCCUUUGAGUUUUAAUCUUGCGACCGUACUCCCCAGGCGGGGUGCUUAAAGCGUUAGCUGCGCCACAGGGGGAUUUAACACCCCCCACAGCAAGUAUCCAUCGUUUACAGCUAGGACUAC